rnacentral:rRNA from 1 species
CCUAACACAUGCAAGUCGAGCGGUAUUUCUUCUUCGGAAGAGAGAGAGCGGCGUACGGGUGCGUAACACGUGUGCAACCUACCUUUAUCUGGGGGAUAGCCUUUCGAAAGGAAGAUUAAUACCCCAUAAUAUAAUGAUUGGCAUCAAUUAUUAUUGAAAACUCCGGUGGAUAGAGAUGGGCACGCGCAAGAUUAGAUAGUUGGUGAGGUAACGGCUCACCAAGUCUGUGAUCUUUAGGGGUCCUGAGAGGGAGAUCCCCCACACUGGUACUGAGACACGGACCAGACUCCUACGGGAGGCAGCAGUGAGGAAUAUUGGACAAUGGGUGAGAGCCUGAUCCAGCCAUCCCGCGUGAAGGAUGACGGUCCUAUGGAUUGUAAACUUCUUUUGUACAGGGAUAACCUACUCUCGUGAGGGUAGCUGAAGGUACUGUACGAAUAAGCACCGGCUAACUCCGUGCCAGCAGCCGCGGUAAUACGGAGGGUGCAAGCGUUAUCCGGAUUUAUUGGGUUUAAAGGGUCCGUAGGCGGACCCGUAAGUCAGUGGUGAAAUCUCAUAGCUUAACUAUGAAACUGCCAUUGAUACUGCGGGUCUUGAGUAAAUUUGAAGUGGCUGGAAUAAGUAGUGUAGCGGUGAAAUGCAUAGAUAUUACUUAGAACACCAAUUGCGAAGGCAGGUCACUAAGAUUUAACUGACGCUGAUGGACGAAAGCGUGGGUAGCGAACAGGAUUAGAUACCCUGGUAGUCCACGCCGUAAACGAUGCUAACUCGUUUUUGGAUUUUCGGAUUCAGAGACCAAGCGAAAGUGAUAAGUUAGCCACCUGGGGAGUACGUCCGCAAGGAUGAAACUCAAAGGAAUUGACGG